rnacentral:rRNA from 1 species
CGAACAACGCCUUUGCCUUCGAUUGCCUGGGUCGGCUCAGCCAGGAUCCGGGCAAUAUCGCCUUCUCGCCCUACAGCGCCUGGACGGCUCUGACCAUGACUUCCGGCGGGGCGUCCGGAGAUACCCUGGAGGAAAUGGCGCGGACCAUGAAUCACCCUUCGUCAGGAGCGGAUGUUCAUGCUUCCGCCAGCCACUGGUCGAUCUUGUUGGGAAGGCUCAAGAGUGUCGAGUUGCGGACUGCCAACCGACU